GGUAGAUCUUUAACUUCGGAUUUCCUGCACUUGCCACAUAUCGGCGAUAGUUUGGCUAUAAUUAUUUAUUCCAAUGCGGAUUCUUAAUUAAUGAAUGAAGAGUUUCCCAGACUCAAACCCAGUUUAAAACAUUCAAACUUCAGCUGAAUACACCGGACCUCUGUCACAAUGGCCUAGCAGAGAAUGAGGGGGAGGCCAGCUAACCUCCUGUGUUGUGGACUGUAAGGUGGAUGCAAUAACCUGAAAGGUCAGCAUCUCCCCAUAUCAACACUGCCACACUGACCGGUGGAAUGUUCACAUCAGGGUCAGGAGCAUCAGAAGAAGACUAAAAGGAUCCAGCAAAUGUGUUUGUUGUGUCAUCAUAGUGGUCUCUGACUUGUGGUCAGACUCAGUCAGGUGGAACAACAUGACUGAUUUUCCGCUAGCUAGAGGUUAACUUAAAUGUUUUCCUUUUUUAAGGCUGAAUUGAAUGUCAUUGAGAAAACAGAAAGG
ensembl:lncRNA